rnacentral:rRNA from 1 species
UACGGAGGGUGCGAGCGUUGUCCGGAAUCACUGGGCGUAAAGGGCGCGUAGGCGGCCUGAUAAGUAGGGGGUGAAAUCCUGCGGCUUAACCGCAGGGCUGCCUUCUAAACUGUCAGGCUAGAGCACGGUAGAGGCAGAUGGAAUUCCCGGUGUAGCGGUGGAAUGCGUAGAGAUCGGGAAGAACAUCAGUGGCGAAGGCGGUCUGCUGGGCCGAUACUGACGCUGAGGAGCGAAAGCGUGGGGAGCGAACAGG